CACGUAGGGCGCAAGCGUUGUCCGGAAUUAUUGGGCGUAAAGAGCUCGUAGGCGGUCUGUUGCGUCCGCUGUGAAAACUCGGGGCUUAACCCCGAGCCUGCAGUGGAUACGGGCAGACUAGAGGUAGGUAGGGGAGAAUGGAAUUCCCGGUGUAGCGGUGAAAUGCGCAGAUAUCGGGAGGAACACCGGUGGCGAAGGCGGGUCUCUGGACAGUUCCUGACACUGAGGCACGAAGGCCAGGGGAGCAAACGGG
rnacentral:rRNA from 1 species